rnacentral:rRNA from 1 species
AGUGAACGCUGGCGGUAGGCCUAACACAUGCAAGUCGAACGGCAGCACAGUAAGAGUUUGCUCUUACGGGUGGCGAGUGGCGGACGGGUGAGGAAUACAUCGGAAUCUACUUUUUCGUGGGGGAUAACGUAAGGAAACCUACGCUAAUACCGCAUACGCCCUACGGGUGAAAGCAGGGGAUCUUUGCGCCUUGCGCGAAUGAACUAGCCGCUGUCGGACUGGCUAGUUGGCGGGGGAAAGGCCCAGCAAGGCGGCGAUCCGUAGCCGGUCUGAGUGGAUGGUCGGCGACACUGGAACUGAGACAGCGUCCAGGCGCCUACGGGAGGCAGCAGUGGGGAAUAGUAGGCAAUAGGCGCAAGCCUUAUCCAGCCAUACCGCGUGUGUGAAGAAGGCCUUCGGUGUGGAAAGCCCUUUUGUUGGGAGAGAAAAGCAGCAGGUUAAGACCCCGCGGUUCUGACGGUACCCAAAGAAGAAGCACCGGCUAACUUCGUG